GUUAUCUGUAGCACAAUAUUGUAUAGUGAGUUAGCUAACAUAAAUAAAUGGGUGGGAUGGUUGGCUCUCAUAAGAAAACGGAACAUCAAGUUUAUGCUAUAACCAUGCUGAUGAGAAAGAUCAGGAUAGAAAGAAGGAUGACCAUGAUGUCUGGUUUGGAAGUGGCCAUUGCCCAUGUUGCUGGACCUGUAGUGUACAGGAUGCAUGAUGGGUAAAAAACUUAUACAAUGCAAAAGGUGGCAGUGGAGGAAAGCUAAGAUGGGAAAACAUCCUGGGCAGAAAAUUUCUGAUGGAGAGAACAACUUGUUGCAGCAAACUCAAGAAGCAACAUUGUCCCAGUAAAAAAUUUGGGCUUAUAUAUAGUAACUACAACAGAAGUAUUGCGGCAACCCACUGCCCUAUCGAGGGGGCGCAUCCCACUGUAAUCCACAUGCUCAAUCAUGGCACCAUGAUCCACCAGGAACUGAACCUAUAAAUAAACAAACAACUGAGUCAGCAUCAUCCAGGAACAAUCAAUGUUAUUAUAUGAUUAAGCUGAGGUUUCAGAUCCAAAGAAUACUGGUUAUCUGGCACAAGGCCAGAUUACUUGUGGGACUGCUUAUUUCCAGCUGAUUCUGCCCAUCCCACCAGAUCCAUUAGGGCUCUGCUCUAUGGACUAUGGAAUGAAGAAUGAUGGAUGCCA